GAUCCUUCCUACUCUCCGCUGGUUAAAUGGGGGGGGGGGGGGAAUUAACCCAUGCCCUGCAAGAGGAGUUUAUGACAUUUCCAGUAAUAUAUCCAAACUGUGGAAAGAUGAUCAUUUUUCACACGAUGAGGAAUGGAACUUUGGAGUAGGAAAUGUAUAACAAGAAAUUAGUCACUGCAGUUGAUGCUCCUGAUGAAAGUUCAUUGAGCUGGGUUAUGUCUGUGAUCAAGGAUGAUGCCAGAGUGUCUGAUGCAAUUGUAGCAGGGGAUGGAAAUGGCCUAAUGUGAGGAACAAAAGAUGAUGGCAAUACAAAGUCAUUACUAGCGUCAUUGCACCUCUGAGAAUAUGGAGUUCAGUAACAAUGUAAUGUCCAGUCCCAUCAACAUUGAGAAUCUGGUUUACAAAUGCAAUCUAUUGUGUUCUCAAGAACACGAGAGGGUUUCGAUCCGAUUUGGAUUAAACCCGCCACUCAAGAGUAGACAAUCCACCGUGGACAGACUGGUGAUCCGGGCUGCUUUACUGGUUUAACGAUGUCCUGUUUAUGCCGUGAUAGGUCGAAGACUAUGGAUACUUGUUUGCUCAGUGUAGUUUCUAUCUAGUUUCUCUUUGGCGGAAAGACUGAAGCAAAUGCUAGAUGUCAAGUUAACUACACGACCAACACCAUGGCUGGCAUAUGAUCUAGUUCUGUAAUGCAUUGUGAGGCAGUCGUUGGAUAAUGCAGCUGGUGAAAUAGUCCUGGUCUUUUGUCUUUAA